rnacentral:rRNA from 1 species
UACGUAGGUGGCAAGCGUUGUCCGGAUUUACUGGGUGUAAAGGGCGCGUAGGCGGGCUCGUAAGUCAGACGUGAAAUACCGGGGCUCAACCCCGGGGCUGCGUUUGAAACUGCGAGUCUUGAGUGCCGGAGAGGAAAGCGGAAUUCCUAGUGUAGCGGUGAAAUGCAUAGAUAUCACGCAGAACUCCGAUUGCGAAGGCAGCAUACCGGCGCCCUACUGACGCUGAGGCACGAAAGCGUGGGUAUCGAACAGG